UUUAGCAAAACACAAACACAUUUAGAUCCUCUGUUUUUAUCACAGAAAAGUUGUUUUUACCAGGAGCAUUAUCAAAUAAAUCUACUACUGCUCAUGACAGUAACCCUGUGACGGACUUGAUGAUAUUGCUGCAUGCACAGUAUCGUUCAAUCCAUCCAGCUACACAGUUGAUGGCUGUCAGCCCUGAAGAACCCCAUCGUCUCUAAACCAAAUAGUUGCCUGAAGGCUCUGCAAUCAGACAGAGGUCAGAGUUUGCGACUUCAGUGAAGAAGGACCACUCAGAGCCCACAGAAAAAAGUGUACCAGCUGCAGGCUGUGGGAGCGGAAGUUUACGCCACUCAAUGCUGGAACUUACACAACCUUCACUGGGUGCUUCAUAGAUAACUUUCAUAAAUCAUUACGAGCCCAUGUCACAGUGAUUGAUUUUACUGCGUUCAGGCAGAACAGACCUGGACCUGAGUGGGAACAAUCCAGCCUUGAAGACUGUGUUAUCUUGGGAUCCAAGCUGAAGAGGCAGCAGCUACCCGGAAGCUCUUCUGAGGGAGAUGUCAGAGGUGCAAGAGAGUAAACCCAACCACUCAGCUGAAGCUUACUUCCUGCCUUACCUCCAAGUCAAGGAGGGUGAAGCAGCCUUUGCUUCCAAUAAGAGGAACUGCAAAGUCACUUGGCAAAAGGCUUGGCUACAAGGAGGAACUGACCUCUGUGUAUGUUUGAGUUUGUUGACUCUGUUUAACGACAUUCUCAACUCAUAAACUUAACUGACACUUCAGACGUGUGUUCAGCAAUCUAAAAGCUCAUUUGUUUUAAUUUUACCUGUAAUCUGAAAAUUGUGUCUUUUUCCUUUCAAAUGUGGGAUCUCAAACUGGAAAUGAUCAAUAUAUAGGCUGGAAAUUAUAUAAGUCCUCUUAUUAUAGCUCUUUUUUACAAUAGAAACUGG